UGCCGAAGUGGUGGAAUGGCAGACACGUCAGACUCAAAAUCUGAUGCCUUCACGGGCGUGUGGGUUCAAGUCCCACCUUCGGUAUC
rnacentral:tRNA from 1 species